rfam:Aspergillus flavus NRRL3357 scf_1106286419476 genomic scaffold, whole genome shotgun sequence.
UUUUACCUACAGUUCAAAGAAUCACUUUAGAGUAGACGUCCCACCUCUGAACUCUUCUAAAGAGCUACAGAAUCUCCACCCUUGCUGAUGACUUCCAUGUCCUCAAUGCCCUAAAGUGAAGCCGUGUUUACUUCCGCCUCGAUAGCUGGUAUCUGCGAACGACUUGCUUCGGUGAGCUUGUUCGAGUGCCUUUUGUCCAGGGAGUGGUGAUGAUCUUUACCUUGUCUUGACGUCUUGACUUCGGUCGGUCAGAUUUGGUGGGUGUUGAGGAGGUCUGAAAGGU